rnacentral:lncRNA from 10 species
AAAUAACCUAAAACAAAUAACAAAAUAUAAGAUAUAGUCCUUUACCACAACAACUUUAUUGUUCUGGACAAUAUAUAAACAUACUAAUAUAUUCCUAGUGGUACAAAGCAGCAUGUAAGCCAUUGCCUACUGGGGUAGGGUGCUCAUGUGUUCUAUGGGAACAAUUAAUUUGAGCUGGAAUGCUCAGGGAAAACAUAGUGAAAAGAGCCCAAAUAGCUUACCCUGUGUGUGGAUAUAUAGAGACCAAGCGGACUGGAGGAUUAUAGUUAGAAAAUAGAGUAAGUCUUGUUUAGGGAAGAGUAAAGUGUCUGACCUUUACUAAAGCAAAAGAUCUACACUGGGAAAUAGCAAAGUUAAAAUUAGAUCAAAAGAGCAGUUUGCAUUGUGGAGGAUCUUAAAAAGGACAUUUUACUGGAAAAAAAAAAAAAGCAGAGAUCCAUUAGAGGUUUUGAGUUGGUAAAUGAAAUGGUAAAAUCUGUGAUUUAAGAAAUAAAUUUAGAGCAAUAUUUAUUCAUGUAUGUUCUCAGGAAUAGUAAUUAAUGGGGUUACUACAAAAGUGUCUGCAAGGUCAAAUACAUGUGAAAAUAGAAAAUACUGCGAGUUUUCUCUACGACUUUAAGAUGUUAAUAGAUAUUUUGACUCUCCUAAACAAAAACACAGGAUUUUGCCAAUGUGACCAGGGAACCCUUUCUAGGAAAACCAUGCAUGGAUCAAGGAUCCCAUAUGUAGUG